UACGUAGGGUGCAAGCGUUGUCCGGAAUUAUUGGGCGUAAAGAGCUCGUAGGCGGUCUGUCGCGUCGGCUGUGAAAACUCGGGGCUCAACUCCGAGCUUGCAGUCGAUACGGGCAGGCUAGAGUAUUGCAGGGGAGACUGGAAUUCCUGGUGUAGCGGUGAAAUGCGCAGAUAUCAGGAGGAACACCGGUGGCGAAGGCGGGUCUCUGGGCAAUAACUGACGCUGAGGAGCGAAAGCGUGGGGAGCGAACAGG
rnacentral:rRNA from 1 species